rnacentral:rRNA from 1 species
GAUGAACGCUGGCGGCGUGCCUAACACAUGCAAGUCGAACGGAGAUUCCGGACGGAAGUUUUCGGAUGGAAGACUGUAAUUCUUAGUGGCGGACGGGUGAGUAACGCGUGGGCAACCUGCCCUAUACAGGGGGAUAGCAGCUGGAAACGGCUGGUAAGACCGCAUAAGUCGGUUAAAUCGCAUGAUUUGAUCGGGAAAUGAGCAAUCAGGUAUAGGAUGGGCCCGCGUCCGAUUAGCCAGUUGGCAGGGUAAAAGCCUACCAAAGCGACGAUCGGUAGCCGGGCUGAGAGGUCGGACGGCCACAUUGGGACUGAGACACGGCCCAAACUCCUACGGGAGGCAGCAGUGGGGGAUAUUGCACAAUGGAGGAAACUCUGAUGCAGCGACGCCGCGUGAGUGAAGAAGUAUUUCGGUAUGUAAAGCUCUAUCAGCAGGGAAGAUGAUGACGGUACCUGACUAAGAAGCCCCGGCUAACUACGUG